rnacentral:rRNA from 1 species
CCUACGGGGGGCUGCAGUGGGGAAUAUUGGACAAUGGGGGCAACCCUGAUCCAGCCAUGCCGCGUGUGUGAAGAAGGCCCUCGGGUUGUAAAGCACUUUCAGUGAGGAAGAACGCCUGGUGGUUAAUACCCAUCAGGAAAGACAUCACUCACAGAAGAAGCACCGGCUAACUCCGUGCCAGCAGCCGCGGUAAUACGGAGGGUGCGAGCGUUAAUCGGAAUUACUGGGCGUAAAGCGCGCGUAGGUGGCUUGAUAAGCCGGUUGUGAAAGCCCCGGGCUCAACCUGGGAACGGCAUCCGGAACUGUCAAGCUAGAGUGCAGGAGAGGAAGGUAGAAUUCCCGGUGUAGCGGUGAAAUGCGUAGAGAGCGGGAGGAAUACCAGUGGCGAAGGCGGCCUUCUGGACUGACACUGACACUGAGGUGCGAAAGCGUGGGUAGCAAACAGGAUUAGAUACCCUUGUAGUC